AGAGCUGUAUCACUCUGACGUCAG
rnacentral:piRNA from 1 species